AAAAAUAUUGUGCACAUAACUACCUGCUUGGUGAAUUCUAAGAAUCAAGUGUGCGCAUAGCUGGCUUUGUUUUACCCUAUACGCAUAAAGUGCGUUCAAUUUAGGAUUUAAUCGAGUUGUGUCAAACACACAGCUAACGCGCUUAGGUCAUGGCCCCGUUUUCCAUCUGCUCCAAGUGCAAGGCUCGAACCCGAAAGGUUGUCAAAGAUUCAAUAACUUUAAAGGAUAUUUACCUAUGCCCCAAAUGCUGCAAGGCGAAAAAUGAAACGCAAAAUAUAGAGAAUGAACAGGACAACAAAGAGUUGCGAAGAAUACAACUGGAACUGCCAGCGCUUGAACUGAAGAAGCCCAUACCACCAGAGCCCAAAGCAGCGACACCUGCAAAGCUGCCACUUGCUGCCGUCGCAGGUGCUGCCAGCCACAGCGCCAGUCGGAAAUGUACACCACCCAUAAUGCAGACUGUGAUCAUAAAUGGACGCAAAUAUAUUGCCAUCAGUGCAACAGCCUCGGACAAUUAGACAAUGUACGCUUUGCAGAAAAUAAAA